rnacentral:rRNA from 1 species
CUGAACCAGCCAAGUAGCGUGAAGGAUGACCGCCCUACGGGUUGUAAACUUCUUUUAUACGGGAAUAACAUCCGCCACGUGUGGCGGCCUGCAUGUACCGUAUGAAUAAGCAUCGGCUAACUCCGUGCCAGCAGCCGCGGUAAAACGGAGGAUGCGAGCGUUAUCCGCAUUUAUUGGGUUUAAAGGGAGCGUAGACGGGUCUUUAAGUCAGUUGUGAAAGUUUGCGG